rnacentral:rRNA from 1 species
AAAGGUUGACGCAGCAACGCCGCGUGUAUGAUGAAGGCUUUCGGGUCGUAAAGUACUUUCAGUGGGGAAGAACUGCAUAAUCAGUAACUGGGUUAUGAUUGACGGAACCCACAGAAGCAGCCCCGGCUAACUUCGUGCCAGCAGCCGCGGUAAUACGAAGGGGGCUAGCGUUGCUCGGAAUCACUGGGCGUAAAGCGCACGUAGGCGGAUCGUUAAGUCAGGGGUGAAAUCCUGGGGCUCAACCUCAGAACUGCCCUUGAUACUGGCGAUCUCGAGUUCGAGAGAGGUUGGUGGAACUCCGAGUGUAGAGGUGAAAUUCGUAGAUAUUCGGAAGAACACCAGUGGCGAAGGCGGCCAACUGGCUCGAUACUGACGCUGAGGUGCGAAAGCGUGGGGAGCAAACA